CCGCUCGGUCUUCUGCUGCUGCUGCGCCGUGCAGACCAGGGAGAUCAGCACGCGCAUGGAGCUGGAGGGAAGCACCUCGCUGUGUUUCCAGAGCAGACGAUACCCGGGGCACGCCUGCCGGGUCGACCGGUCGAGGAGGA